AAAAACAAAACCCUAAAAUAAAACCCAUAACCAUUCCUUCUCCUUUUUUAGAAUCAGGGUAAAAAAAAAACCAAGCCUAUCCUCCUACUAUUCGGCCGAACCAAAGGACACCCCUCAACUUCUCUCGUUAGCCGAUCAUGGGUUUCAUCGGCGUCUACACCUCCACCUCUGCCGUGGUUCAUGGCUCAAGUCACGGAAAGAUGAGAUGACGCCCAUUCAUCUCUUUUGGUCCGAUACCCAAGCCGGAGAACGGCCUCCGACAAUCGAAACCGCAGGUAAGGGCCUCCAAAAUCUUUUCUUUUUUCUUAUAGUAGUGAAAAGAGAAAAAUGAGAGUUUGAAAGCGAGAUCAGUAGCCAAAUAUUGAAACAAAAAAUCACCUCUUUUGAUUUCUUUGCCCUUUUUUUGUGUUAUGUGCGCGUAAAAAAAACAUACAAUCUAGUCUUGGGGCUUUAUAGCCGAAUACAUGUGAUUUGAUUUUUGCUUGUUAUUUGGUUUAUCUCUGCUUUUGCUGUUUCUUGCCUCGUUUUUGCUUUGUCCUCCUUUUGCUUGUUUGCAAGUUUGCGAGGAGUCAACGAAUAAGGGGGUUUCCAUUUCAGUGCAAAGGGACAAAAGGGAGCCGAGCCUCGGGCGUUGGAUGUGCCGACGAAGCACGUGGGAUGUGCAGCGCUAGAGGAAACUAGGGUUUCCUGCUAACUGACGCUGGUUUGAGCAUUGGGCCUAUCGAGCCAAUUAGGUUAGGAGUUUUGGGGUUGUGUUUGGGCCGUUUGUAAAAUGGGCUUGCUGGGUUUUAAUUUUUUUUGGAUUAGGUUUAGUAAGGCUUUGGAUUGUAAAUGGACUGGAAUAUUUGGACUAUUUUUGUUUUUAUUAUUUUUUAUUGUUUGGGCCGGUCAAUGGUUUGGGUUUAGUUGGGUUUAGGUUGGGUAAUUUAGUCCUGCUAAUUGUUUGUAAUUUGGACAUUAAAUUUUGGGUUUUAUUAUCAUUAUUGGGUUUUCUAAAGGGCAGGUAAAUUUGGGCCCAUACAAUUCAGAGAUAAUAGUUUGAUUUAGAAGAAAGGGAAUGUAACACCCCAAAUCCGGCCCAGACGUUAUGGUCGGAUCCGACAUGCCACAUCGAAGCAUUCAAAACAUUUUAUAUUGUUGAUCCAGAAAAACUUACUUAGUGUUUUAAAAGAUGAUUAUAGGUUAAAGUGGAUGGAAGCUGUGCACCAGGUAGGAAACCGGAAAAGAGGAGGUGAGUCCAUCGGACUGCUUAAGUACCAAGCUCCCUUCAGAUCCAAUCCUAGACAUGCACACCGCCAUUGCCACACCUUAACGUCAUGUAUAUUUCUAGGAAACCGAUUUGAUUAAGUAUUUUUUAGGAAAAGUGAUUAAUUUUGGAAAAUACUUUCAUUGCGGAAGCUUUGCUUGUCAUCG
rnacentral:lncRNA from 1 species